rnacentral:rRNA from 1 species
GAUGAACGCUGGCGGCGUGCUUAACACAUGCAAGUCGAACGGAAAGGCUCCUGCUUGCAGGGGUACUCGAGUGGCGAACGGGUGAGUAACACGUGGGUGAUCUGCCCUGCACUUCGGGAUAAGCCUGGGAAACUGGGUCUAAUACCGGAUAGGACGAUGGUUUGGAUGCCAUUGUGGAAAGUUCUUCGGUGUGGGAUGAGCUCGCGGCCUAUCAGCUUGUUGGUGGGGUAAUGGCCUACCAAGGCGUCGACGGGUAGCCGGCCUGAGAGGGUGUACGGCCACAUUGGGACUGAGAUACGGCCCAGACUCCUACGGGAGGCAGCAGUGGGGAAUAUUGCACAAUGGGCGCAAGCCUGAUGCAGCGACGCCGCGUGGGGGAUGACGGCCUUCGGGUUGUAAACUCCUUUCGCUAGGGACGAAGCGCAAGUGACGGUACCUGGAGAAGAAGCACCGGCUAACUACGUG